UAGGGAAUCUUCGGCAAUGGACGAAAGUCUGACCGAGCAACGCCGCGUGAGUGAAGAAGGUUUUCGGAUCGUAAAACUCCGUUGGUAGAGAAGAACGUUGGUGAGAGUGGAAAGCUCAUCAAGUGACGGUAACUACCCAGAAAGGGACGGCUAACUACGUGCCAG
rnacentral:rRNA from 1 species